rnacentral:rRNA from 1 species
GACGAACGCUGGCGGCGUGCUUAACACAUGCAAGUCGUACGGUAAGGCCCUUUCGGGGGUCCACGAGUGGCGCACGGGUGAGUAACACGUGAGUAACCUGCCCACAACUUUGGGAUAACGCUAGGAAACUGGUGCUAAUACUGGAUAUGUGCUCCUGCUGCAUGGUGGGGGUUGGAAAGCUCCGGCGGUUGUGGAUGGACUCGCGGCCUAUCAGCUUGUUGGUGGGGUAGUGGCCUACCAAGGCGGCGACGGGUAGCCGGCCUGAGAGGGUGACCGGCCACAUUGGGACUGAGAUACGGCCCAGACUCCUACGGGAGGCAGCAGUGGGGAAUAUUGCACAAUGGGCGCAAGCCUGAUGCAGCAACGCCGCGGGCGGGAUGACGGCCUUCGGGUUGUAAACCGCUUUCAGCAGGGACGAAGCUUUUUGUGACGGUACCUGCAGAAGAAGCACCGGCUAACUACGUG